rnacentral:rRNA from 1 species
UGGCUGUCGUCAGCUCGUGUCGUGAGAUGUUGGUUAAGUCCGCAACGAGCGCAACCCUGCAUUCAGUUGCCAUCGGUAAGGCCGGGCACUCUGGAUGGACUGCCGGCGACAAGCCGGAGGAAGGUGGGGACGACGUCAAGUCAUCAUGGCCCUUAUGUCCAGGGCGACACACGUGCUACAAUGGCCGGCACAACGGGAAGCGAAGGGGCGACCCUGAGCGGAUCCCACAAAAGCCGGUCUCAGUUCGGAUUGCAGUCUGCAACUCGACUGCAUGAAGUUGGAAUCGCUAGUAAUCGUGGAUCAGCCAAGCCGCGGUGAAUACGUUCCCGGGCCUU